rnacentral:rRNA from 1 species
AUUGACCUCGGAUCAGGUAGGGAUACCCGCUGAACUUAAGCAUAUCAAUAAGCGGAGGAAAAGAAACCAACAGGGAUUGCCUCAGUAACGGCGAGUGAAGCGGCAACAGCUCAAAUUUGAAAUCUGGCCCCGUCGGGGUCCGAGUUGUAAUUUGUAGAGAGUGUUUCGGGUGAGACCACGGUCUAAGUCUAUUGGAACAUGGCGUCAUAGAGGGUGAGAAUCCCGUAUGUGACCGUGGCUCGAGCCCAUGUGAAGCCUCUUCGACGAGUCGAGUUGUUUGGGAAUGCAGCUCAAAAUGGGUGGUAAAUUUCAUCUAAAGCUAAAUACUGGCUGGAGACCGAUAGCGCACAAGUAGAGUGAUCGAAAGAUGAAAAGCACUUUGGAAAGAGAGUCAAAAAGUACGUGAAAUUGUUGAAAGGGAAGCGCUUGCAACCAGACCUGUCCGUAGGUGAUCAACCGCUGUUCUCAGUGGUGCACUCGCUCUGCGAUCAGGCCAGCAUCGGUUCCGGCGGUCGGAUAAAGGCCUUGGGAAUGUAGCUGCCUUCGGGGAGUCUUAUAGCCCUCGGUGCAAUGCGGCCAGCCGGGACCGAGGACCGCGCUUCGGCUAGGAUGCUGGCGUAAUGGCUGUAAGCGACCCGUCUUGAAACACGGACCAAGGAGUCUAACAUCUAUGCGAGUGUUUGGGUGUUAAACCCAUGCGCGGAAUGAAAGUGAACGGAGGUGAGAACCCUUUAGGGCGCAUCAUCGACCGAUCCAGAUGUCUUCGGAUGGAUUUGAGUAUGAGCAUAGCUGUUGGGACCCGAAAGAUGGUGAACUAUGCCUGAAUAGGGUGAAGCCAGAGGAAACUCUGGUGGAGGCUCGCAGCGGUUCUGACGUGCAAAUCGAUCGUCAAAUUUGGGUAUAGG